rnacentral:rRNA from 1 species
UACGUAGGUGGCAAGCUUUGUUCGGAAUUACUGGGCGUAAAGCGCGCGUAGGCGGCUUUGUAAGUUAGAGGUGAAAGCCCGGAGCUCAACUCCGGAAUUGCCUUUAAGACUGCAUCGCUAGAACGUCGGAGAGGUGAGUGGAAUUCCGAGUGUAGAGGUGAAAUUCGUAGAUAUUCGGAAGAACACCAGUGGCGAAGGCGACUCACUGGACGACUGUUGACGCUGAGGUGCGAAAGCGUGGGGAGCAAACAGG